UGCUGGGUCCCGGAGGUGUAUGCAAAAUCGCCUUGUCACAUUAGGUUCACCUGACACUUUAAAAGGAAAAAAAUUGUAUCAAGUUCUGUGGUCACAAAACUAUUUUGCUUUUAUCAAAUGCUUUAAUAGAACCAAAGUUGCAGAUGUUGAAGUGUAUGGAAGUAUCUCAGUCUGCAUAAAAGGAUUAAAGUAUGAAAGGAUCAUUUAAUGACUAUUUUACUUAGAAGUCAUUCAGUAAUCCACCAUUUCUUAUGGAUGAUGCUUAAGCCUGAUGAGGAUUGUACUCUAAGGAGCCCAGAUCAUAAUGCAGUGCAUUUCCUUAGCCCUUAGAGUUUCUUGCAAACCUUAAAAAAAAAAAAAAAAAAA